rnacentral:rRNA from 1 species
UUCUUCCGCAAUGGACGAAAGUCUGACGGAGCAACGCCGCGUGAGUGAAGAAGGUUUUCGGAUUGUAAAACUCUGUCAUUUGGGACGAACGUGCUUUAGUUUAAGAGAUGGAAGCAAUGACGGUACCAAAGAAGGAAGCCACGGCUAACUACGUGCCAGCAGCCGCGGUAAUACGUAGGUGGCGAGCGUUGUCCGGAAUUAUUGGGCGUAAAGGGCGUGUAGGCGGGUUAUUAAGUCUUAAGUAUAAAUGCGGGGCUUAACUUCGUAUUGCUUAAGAAACUGGUAGUCUUGAGUUAAGGAGAGGAAAGUGGAAUUCCCAGUGUAGCGGUGAAAUGCGUAGAGAUUGGGAGGAACACCAGUGGCGAAGGCGACUUUCUGGACUUAAACUGACGCUGAGGCGCGAAAGCCAGGGGAGCGAACGGGAUUAGAUACCCCGGUAGUCCUGGCCGUAAACGAUGGGUACUAGGUGUAGGAGGUAUCGACCCCUUCUGUGCCGGAGUUAACGCAAUAAGUACCCCGCCUGGGGAGUACGGCCGCAAGGUUG